rnacentral:rRNA from 1 species
UACGGGGGGGCAAGCGUUGUUCGGAAUUACUGGGCGUAAAGGGCUCGUAGGCGGCCAACUAAGUCAGACGUGAAAUCCCUCGGCUUAACCGGGGAACUGCGUCUGAUACUGGAUGGCUAGAGGUUGGGAGAGGGAUCGCGGAAUUCCAGGUGUAGCGGUAGAAAUGCGUAGAUAUCUGGAGGAACACCGGUGGCGAAGGCGGCAUCCUGGACCAAUUCGUGACGCUGAUGAGCGAAAGCCAGGGGAGCAAAGCGGG